UGUUGGAGUGACAGUGGAAUCAACCAAUCACAUUGACUUGUAAUGGGUGAGACCGUUUUUACAAAAACGUAUGGAAACUUCUGCGUUCUCAAAGGCCAAUAGGCCACUGUGCAAUAGCGAGCAGUAGUUUUCACACGGUCUAGCUAGCUAGCUUUUGUUGUAGACUAGUUUGUAGCGGCUGCAGCAGGUUUUGUCGAGGAUGUUGUAGUAAGAUGUCCCUUGGGGGUAUCCGUACCUAUGUAUGACAUGCGCAGACUAGGCUAGUAACAUGCUGAAGCUAGAACGUCAUUGUCGUGCCUCCUUAUUUUAGAUAAUACUACAUGGUGUCAGACGUGGUUUUAAUAAUCACAUAAACGUGAAGGACAUACCAAGUAAAUCAUACAUUGAGGCUGUUUCAAAACAGGGAGGGCAGUGUUGGAGAUAAACAGCGCAGAUCAUUAUUGUGCUAGCUAACGAGCAGGGACUAAGUUACUGUUAAGCAACAUGUUGCAAGAGGAAGAAACUGGCGGGAUUUCAGGGUUUGCGACUCCAAGUUCAACUGGCUCUGGCGCAAACACGGACAGGCCAGUGGCUAGUGCUGACGGAUUUCACAUUAGUCCCUCUGGGAUAAUUUUGAUUAUAUGGACAUUCAAAACUGGCCGCAAUGGAUCGGGCGCUUUGAAAGAUAUAAGCUGAAACAUCUUUCCUACCUACCAGCUAUCGAUGCCAUUCUUCUGUGAGCUGCUCCAUGAGACAACCAGUUGAGAGCUGGACGCUUUUGCUGCCUGCAGAUGAUAUUCCACUGAAACUAGGCUAUGUGUGCUGUGCGCAUGUUUAUAUACACUAUAUAUACACAAGUGUGUGGACACCCCUUCAAAUUAGUGUACUCUCUGACCUAUGUGAGUGCGCUGAUAUUAGGGUUGCUGUCCUUUCAGUAUCAAAGCCUGUCACAUACUGAAGGCCCAAUAGGCUCGACACUGCACAAACAUGUCUAUAAUAAAUAAAGACUGUUACAAUUUC